rnacentral:rRNA from 1 species
GACGAACGCUGGCGGCGUGCUUAACACAUGCAAGUCGAACGCUGAAGCUUGGUGCUUGCACUGGGUGGAUGAGUGGCGAACGGGUGAGUAAUAAGUGAGUAACCUGCCCUUGACUCUGGGAUAAGCCUGGGAAACUGGGUCUAAUACUGGAUACGACAUGUCACCGCAUGGUGGUGUGUGGAAAGGGUUUUACUGGUUUUGGAUGGGCUCACGGCCUAUCAGCUUGUUGGUGGGGUAAUGGCUCACCAAGGCGACGACGGGUAGCCGGCCUGAGAGGGUGACCGGCCACACUGGGACUGAGACACGGCCCAGACUCCUACGGGAGGCAGCAGUGGGGAAUAUUGCACCAUGGGCGGAAGCCUGAUGCAGCGACGCCGCGUGAGGGAUGACGGCCUUCGGGUUGUAAACCUCUUUCAGCACGGAAGAAGCGAAAGUGACGGUACGUGCAGAAGAAGCGCCGGCUAACUACGUG